AGAGUUUGAUCCUGGCUCAGGACGAACGCUGGCGGCGUGCUUAACACAUGCAAGUCGAACGAGAGGAGAAGGAAGCUUGCUUCUUUCAAAUCUAGUGGCAAACGGGUGAGUAACACGUAAACAACCUGCCUUCAGGAUGGGGACAACAGACGGAAACGACUGCUAAUACCGAAUACGUUCCUUAGGUCGCAUGACUUUAGGAAGAAAGGGUGGCCUCUACUUGUAAGCUAUCGCCUGAAGAGGGGUUUGCGUCUGAUUAGGUAGUUGGUGAGGUAACGGCCCACCAAGCCGACGAUCAGUAGCCGGUCUGAGAGGAUGAACGGCCACACUGGAACUGAGACACGGUCCAGACUCCUACGGGAGGCAGCAGUGGGGAAUCUUCCGCAAUGGGCGAAAGCCUGACGGAGCAACGCCGCGUGAGUGAUGACGGCCUUCGGGUUGUAAAGCUCUGUGAUCGGGGACGAACGGUCAGCAGACGAAUACUCUGCUGAAGUGACGGUACCCGAAUAGCAAGCCACGGCUAACUACGUGCCAGCAGCCGCGGUAAUACGUAGGUGGCAAGCGUUGUCCGGAAUUAUUGGGCGUAAAGCGCGCGCAGGCGGCUUCUUAAGUCCAUCUUAAAAGUGCGGGGCUUAACCCCGUGAUGGGAUGGAAACUGAGAGGCUGGAGUAUCGGAGAGGAAAGUGGAAUUCCUAGUGUAGCGGUGAAAUGCGUAGAGAUUAGGAAGAACACCGGUGGCGAAGGCGACUUUCUGGACGACAACUGACGCUGAGGCGCGAAAGCGUGGGGAGCAAACAGGAUUAGAUACCCUGGUAGUCCACGCCGUAAACG
rnacentral:rRNA from 1 species